UAUGUCUUUGCAGAGUUGUAGCUAUUUUAUGCAUGUAUUGCAUAAAAACAUACAUAACAAUUGUUUAAACCACCCUUCUUAUAAAGUCUUUAUGAUUAAAAUAAGUUCUUUUUUGAGUUAAAGAGAAUUUUCACAUCAUGUGUCAUGAUAUAGUCCUUGGUGUUUAUGAAAAUGUAAAUAUUUCCUGCCUUCAGGUGGUUUUCCACUCAUGCAUCCAACAUCCAGGAGUUACAUUCCACCAUUGUUCUGUCUGCCUCCACCUUCUUCCUUCUCGCUCUUUUGUCUGAGAUGUGCAACAUAUAAUGGCUGCCAUUUUCCUGCAGGAAACAUGAGGAGGAAGAGGCGAGCGUCUUCAGGAAGACCAGGCAUCCUUCCUCCAAGACGUCUCAGUACGAAAACACUCUGCGAUUGUCAGCGCCCAGAACGAGGAGCCGCGGCCCUCAGGAGCCGGGGUCCCUUCACACACCUCUGUGUGAGAACAACUGUCCCAUUUGGCACGUUGAUCCCCGAGUCAGAAACGUCAUCAUCACCGCUCGAUUGCUGCAGCUCUCACAGCCCAAAAAACCCCAUCCUGACUACUGCAGCAACAGGGAGAGUGCUGCUUCCAUCGUCUCCUUAGCAUCCAGAACAGCUCGGAUAUCUCAGCGACUCGCCCAGUUGUCGCUGCCCAAACUGAAGCAGAGCAACAUCUGCUACCAGCUGGGGCGCUUCGAGGAACCAAUCUGGAUUGUCUCAAGAGCAGCAAAAAAGGGUUCAGCAAGUGUUCGAGUUGAGACGCUGGCAGCACCAAAGCAGCUUCAUAAAGACUACAUUCCUCCACAAGAGCCAGAGUGGAGCCUGAGAGAUGCUAAGACCAAUAAGCUUCUGUGGAAAUACUAAGAAAAUUCUCUAUUUCUGAAAAUUGUUCCCAAAUUGUUUGUUUCUUCAGAGUUUUGCCUUUAUUUCUGAUUAUAUAGCACUGUGAAAGUGUUUACCUGAUGACAGCCAUCUUCUGUUCUUUUGGCUUUUUUGUCACACUUAAAUGUUUCACAUCAUCAAACAAAUUGCUAGUAUUGGAUAAAGUUAAAUACAAGUAAAUACAAAAGUGUGAAAAAGUAAUGCCCCUUUUUUAAAGUCCUAAAUUAACUGUGGAUAAAGAGGACUUAUUAUGCAAAAUUCACAUUUUUCAUGUUUUAUACUUGGAUUUGGAUCUCUGCUGCUUCUAAAAACAACCCAAGCACUUAAAAAAAUAAAACAUCCACCAAUUUUUUGGCAAUAAGUUAAUAUUUUUUGGUGACUGGAAACUGAGCCGUUUCCAAAACCUCCCAACUGUUCAGUCACAUUCAACAAACACUGUACCGUUACCUAACAACCCCAGAAAAUUCCAGCAUGUUACCUAGCAACCCAAGCUGAGUUCUACCCCAUUUGUUCAGCUGGUUUUCAAAAUUCAAAUUCCAAACUACUUUAUUAAUCCCAAAGGGAAAUUAAAUAUCACUGAAUGAGGUGUACAAUGGCUGCUGGAAAAGACAAGUAUUUUAUUGUUAAUGAUUCAGAAAUCAUAGUUUGUACAGUCAAAAGGUCACCUGUAAAUUGUAUCAGAGUUUUAGAGUUUUACAAUAAUUCCCACACAAUAAAUCUCAUGCAUCCAUUUCUGGGAAUGAAACUUUGAAUUGCUGUAAUUUCAUGAUUGAAAAAUAUUGCCGUUUUAAAUUUCUGAGCUUCUAGCAGAGAAAUCAAACCCCUCAGAAAUAAAACAUGUCUCUCACUGCAAGCUGGAAGCAGGGAUCCACGUGGUUUUCUCUCCGCUGCUGAGUUUUUAUUAAAACCAUGUGUUUCAGACUUUG